rnacentral:snRNA from 1 species
UGAAACUCAAUUCGUUCUUUGGCU